AUACGGAGGGUGCAAGCGUUGUCCGGAUUUAUUGGGUUUAAAGGGUCCGUAGGCGGGAAUAUAAGUCAGUGGUGAAAUCCUGCAGCUUAACUGUAGAACUGCCAUUGAUACUGUAUUUCUUGAGUUUAGUCGAGGUAGGCGGAAUGUGUAAUGUAGCGGUGAAAUGCUUAGAUAUUACACAGAACACCGAUUGCGAAGGCAGCUUACUAGGCUAUAACUGACGCUGAUGGACGAAAGCGUGGGGAGCGAACAGGAUUAGAAACCCCAGUAGUCC
rnacentral:rRNA from 1 species